UAGCGGGCAAAAGCGGACACCUCUAUCGCAGUUAGAACAAAAUGGUUAAUAUUUUUUGAAUCAGCAAGUUGUAGUCGGUAUACUUUCAAGGCAAGCACUUCACUUAAGACUAUCUCGGUUGGGGGAUUUUGCUUGGCCUCUAACUAUCCGCAAAUCUAGGUUCUCACAGUUCUAGAAUGGCUAUUAUUACUGCCUUCCUGGGGAGGCUUUCAGUAAUCAUACUGAUCUUCUCUUUGCAUUUUGUUUGCGUGCCUGAACCUUUAAUAUGGCCCAAAAGACGCAAGUCAUCCGACUUGACUAUAUCUUUACACGCUGGGCACAUAGGCUGCUAGAAUGACGGAACAAUGAUUCUUAAUGCAACGGUCAAUCAAAAGUUGCUUGGCUUUGGCAUUGUAUGCACAACGUUGAAGACAGUGCUUUGAGCCAUCUUACACUGGAAAUAGCUUCUACAGAUAGCUAAACUGAUUACUUUUCUUACACAGGAAUUCUGUUGGAACCGUAAAACAGCUCCACGAUACGGAUGCACUUACGCUCUUACCUCCGGAUGAUAUUCAGUUUGGCUUUGAAAAAAAGAUUGGUCCGAUCGUGUUGCACGGACAGGCAAAAUUGCAUGAUGGAACGGGAGCAGGGCUAGAUAUGAUUCACAGGGUUGGAGAUGCCUCUGUGGAUAUUUUUAACGAUAGCUCGGUAAAGGUUAAAUGUUGCCUCGGAAUGGACGUAAUUGAACGCAAUUGAUAUUACGGCACUAUUACCUGUAUGGAUUUUGAGCCUUCCGUCAAGAUGGACUCGCACACUGGCUACAUCACUGUCGACGCAGAAAUCGACCGUAAUGCCCUCGGUAGAGUUGAGGUGAAACGUUUCACGAUCAGGCAUGUAAUCAAACCGGUGUUCAACUUAUUUCCUCAAUAAUCCUACCUAACUUCUCAUCGCGUGCGCUCCCAACUGCGUUUAAGAUCCUUAUAAAUAUUUCAUUUCUCCAGACCGACGUGAAUAUGUAGAAACCAUGCAGCCACUAUUGAAGAAAAUCUGCAAAGGCUACGCUAGA